rnacentral:misc_RNA from 1 species
GAUGAAGAACGCAGCGAAAUGCGAUAAGUAAUGUGAAUUGCAGAAUUCAGUGAAUCAUCGAAUCUUUGAACGCACAUUGCGCCCCUUGGUAUUCCGAGGGGCAUGCCUGUUCGAGCGUCAUUAUAACCCCUCAAGCUCAGCUUGGUGUUGGGGCCUGCUGCACUGGCAGCCCUUAAAAUCAGUGGCGGCGCCAUCUGGCUCUAAGCGUAGUAAUUCUUCUCGCUUUGGAGUCCUGGUGGAUGCUUGCCAUCAACCCCCAAUUUUUCUAUGGUUGACCUCGGAUCAGGUAGGGAUACCCGCUGAACUUAAGCAUAUCAAUAAGCGGAGGA